AGCAGUCGCCACGGUAAUACGAGGGGGGCAAGCGUUGUUCGGAAUUAUUGGGCGUAAAGGGCGCGUAGGCGGUUUGGCAAGAUCGGUGUGAAAUCUUCGGGCUCAACUCGAAGUCUGCAUUGAUGACUGCCGGGCUAGAGUAAGGUAGAGGAUAGUGGAAUUUCCGGUGUAGCAGUGAAAUGCGUAGAGAUCGGAAGGAACAUCUGUGGCGAAGGCGACAUACUGGAUCAUUACUGACGCUGAGGCUCGAAAGCGUGGGGAGCAAACAGGAUUAGAGACCCGUGUAGUCCCUGUCUCUUAUAC
rnacentral:rRNA from 1 species